UACGAAGGGGGCUAGCGUUGUUCGGCAUCACUGGGCGUAAAGCGCACGCCGGCGGCUCGAUAAGUCGGGGGUGAAAGCCCGGGGCUCAACCUCGGAAUUGCCUUCGAUACUGUCGGUCUCGAGUCCGGGAGAGGUGAGUGGAAUUCCUAGUGUAGAGGUGAAAUUCGUAGAUAUUAGGAAGAACACCAGUGGCGAAGGCGGCUCACUGGCCCGGUACUGACGCUCAGGUGCGAAAGCGUGGGGAGCAACCAGG
rnacentral:rRNA from 1 species